rnacentral:rRNA from 1 species
UACGAGUGCCCCAAGCGUUAUCCGGAAUCAUUGGGCGUAAAGGGUGUGUAGGUGGUUGUGUUAGUCUCAUGUUAAAGCUCCCGGCUUAACCGGGAAAUCGCAUGGGAAACGGCACAACUAGAGGAUGCAAGGGGUCUGUAGAACUCAUGGAGUAGGGGUGAAAUCCGUUGAUAUCAUGGGGAAUACCGAAAGCGAAGGCAGCAGACUGGUGCACCCCUGACACUGAAACACGAAAGCGUGGGUAGCGAAUGGG